rnacentral:rRNA from 1 species
AACGAACGCUGGCGGCAUGCCUAACACAUGCAAGUCGAACGAAGCCUUCGGGCUUAGUGGCGCACGGGUGCGUAACACGUGGGAAUCUGCCCUUUGGUCCGGAAUAACAGUUAGAAAUGACUGCUAAUACCGGAUAAUGACGUAAGUCCAAAGAUUUAUCGCCGAAGGAUGAGCCCGCGUAGGAUUAGGUAGUUGGUGGGGUAAUGGCCCACCAAGCCGACGAUCCUUAGCUGGUCUGAGAGGAUGAUCAGCCACACUGGGACUGAGACACGGCCCAGACUCCUACGGGAGGCAGCAGUGGGGAAUAUUGGACAAUGGGCGAAAGCCUGAUCCAGCAAUGCCGCGUGAGUGAUGAAGGCCUUAGGGUUGUAAAGCUCUUUUACCAGGGAUGAUAAUGACAGUACCUGGAGAAUAAGCUCCGGCUAACUCCGUG